GUUGAAGUUGCGCGUCUCUCUCACGCUGUUUGUUCCCAUUUCACAAGAUGGAAUUCCUUCACACCGAGGGCUCAGCGCCGGUAUGUCAGCUGAGGUGGAGUCUGAGUUUCAAUCAAAACACACAGUGACAGACGCACAAAGGUCUUCUGCCGCCUACGUCUUCUCUCUGAACUUGGACCGGAAUAACUUGUGUUUUGACCUCUAGAUAAACUCUGGUAUCGUCUCACUUAAGACUCAGUUUGGGAGGAAGCUUCUCUAAAGUGGCUUCACGCGGUCCGUUGGCCAAACUCACAUUUGAAGGCCUGGUGUCCACAGAAGAACGUGGCCUCAUUCCAAAGACCUGCAGCUUUCAACGGGAACACAAAUCCAAAGCGAGCGCAGAGUCACUGUGCAAAGUCCAACUGGCAGAAUGAGGCGUCUCUUUUGUUACACAGGAAGGAAUUCAACACAAAGGGACGAAAGCAAACAGUGGCUGUCAGAGACAGACGGCCUGGAGGACAGAGACAGGGAGACAGACGGCCUGGAGGACAGAGACAGGGAGACAGAAGGACAGAGACAGAGAGACAGACGGCCUGGAGGACAGAGACAGAGAGACAGACGGCCUGGAGGACAAAGACAGGGAGACAGAAGGCCUGGAGGCCCGAGACAGAUCUGCUCCUAAAAGAGCGACGACUGCAGGGUCAAGGCUGCGGUGAAGAUCCGGAUCUGGGUCUGUCCCUGGUGGACUGGUCUCUGCUGAAGGUCUGAUGGAGUCUGAGCUAAAUGAGGCUCUGGUCAACCUCGUGAUGUCAUCUGGUUUCACCAGAACCCGCUGGAUGAUGUCAUCAAAAAGAGCUGUGUAGAAACAGUCUUCUUACUGGUGGUCUCGUCUUCGUGGAGUCCUCAUAUUAAGCUUCAGCUCACCAAAGACGUGUUUUUAUCCCACAUGCUGCAGCGUGUGUCCCUCAUAAGGCCUGUUUACAACCAACAGAGACACACAAACAUCAUCGGGGCUCCAGACUGCGACCAAAUGGUCGCAUUCUGCGCCUAAAAUGAGACACAGUGCGAGUACAUGUUUCAUCGACCGCGACCAGUAAAUUAUCCGUUUGUUGUUUGGUUAUUAAAUGUUUGUGUUGCACACUUCAGCCCAUUAUAGUGAGCACGAGUGAGUCGAGCGAGCAAAGAGUGAAGAGGUGGAGCGAGCGCAGCAACGGCUGCCUGCGCGCAGAAAACCAGUUUGUGGAGAGGGAACCUGAGUAAACUGCGCGCACGGAAUACGUUUUUCUUUGCUAAAAUAUAGUUCUCUGUGCUUAAAACUUAAAAUUACGCGCUCAGGAUUGUGGCACAAAUAUAACGCCAUACACAUUGUGCAUGCGGGGAACCCGACAUUAAGACUCACUACACAAUUAAAACACAAACACAGGCACCAGGGGGGGAUUGUUUGCAGGAAGUGUUAAUGCACAAGUUAUGUCCAUAACUUGUUCUGUCGUCAGUAGAGCAUAAAUAUUCAUUUUGUAUUUGUAAGCUGUAUAACUGGUGUAUGUUAUUAAAACUAUUGCACAAGUUUCUUAUAAACUUAUUUAUCAGUAAUACAGUAAAAAUGGUGGGACGAGUCGAUUUAUAGCGUGCGCCCCUAAAUGUUAAGUUAGGGGCCACUGUGCUCCCAGUGAGAAGAGUUAGUCUGGAGCCCUGAUCAUACAUACGAAGCUGCAUCUUGCAAAGGAAUUGCAGGACUCGUGACAGAGAAUGUCCCAACAUGUGACUCGCAAUGUCCACCUGUCCCCCGUCCGUCCCUCUGUCUCUGUUUGUCUGGUGCUUCGUCUUGUCUGUGGUGUUUUACAGUGAAUGUGUUCCCAGAUGAACACACCUCUAGUGGCUCAGAGGACGUGACAACCAAUAAAUGGACCUGAGCACCACAUGUCCUGCGUCCCUCUGGAAGUCCUGGACAUGCUUCAGGCUGAAUCAUCUCAUGGUCACAGAUUACAGAUAUUCAGUGUGGGGCGCUGGGUGGUGUAAGUGAAUAUGUGAACCACAUGGUGGCAGCACGCUGAUGGAGUUCACUUCACAAGAAGCUCCCUCCUCACAGCGCCGAGUGACUGUGAGUAUCUGUACUACUUCCAGCUGAGUGACGCACCAUCCAGUCACUGGAUUCACUUCAUUUAUGUUGAACACAUAGUAAGAAUUUGACGCAUAACGCCUCAUCUGUAAAUGGAAAAACAUUUAUCCUGUUAAACACGUCCACAAAGGGUUGAAUGCACUUUGUAUUUAAUACAUGAAAAUGAAGAGAAAUGAUGCUGAACAAUAUGAAACAUGCUGGUUUGGCUUAAGAAUUAAAAGAAAACAUUAAAUCAAAUGUCUUUCUGCGUUCAUUGUGUGUUAAAAAUAUCACAUGAUUUUAGAUACAAAACACUGACAACAUGCGCUGCUGUUAAUUAUUAACUUUAAAACCUCACAACAACUUAACGGGCUGAUGGCAGAGUGAAUUCAUCAUGUUGGUUGAUGUAAUAGUUUAGAUUGUUCUUGAUGUUUGAAAAAUGGCUCUUUAAACCUGCGAGUGGUGGAUGUUUUGAGAAAAUAUGAUUAAUAAAAGAAUCUGACAAUUGUUUAGUGUUGUGGUCUAAAGUUCCACCAGAGCCGUACACUUGAUAAUUAGAAGUGCUGAUGCAGAGGUCUUUUCCAGCUGGUUGUAGUUGAAGUAAACACGUAAGGUUAAGGUUUUGUAAAGAACAUACGGACAUCGGUCCAGAAAGACAACUAUUGUCACCACCGCAAUUCAUUUCAUGACCGACAGCAGUAUGACCGGCGAAGUCCUUCCUGUGUUUCUCCAGCAGCUGAUCCAGGUCCUGUAGAUACGUAGUGAGGGCAGCUUGGAUGACAUGAACAUAGUCCUUCGAACUGAUGCCAGUCUUCUGAUUCAGUCGAGCCUCAUGGAUCAACAUCUGGACGUGGAAGGAGGCUCCGUUCACCCAGAUCUUCAACCCACGGCUCCUCAUCUGUCCGUCAAGCAGCAGGGAGUUUCUGAGGAUGGUGAGAUGGUUGCUCAGCUGUCUCUCCAGUCUCGCUAGUUCACCCUGUAGGUGUCGGUUAUCAGUCAGGUACAUCUGAUGGCGCUUCACAUACUCCGACACAGUGUCCCGGACUGCUGAGGCCUUCUCUUCACCAAAUGCCUGCAGGAACUUGCUGUAUGAAUCAUCAGAAGUUGCAACGUGGCUCUUCAUGGAAAUAUCUAUGAUCAUGGAAAUCAUCAAUGCUCCGAGUCCAACAGCAUUUGGGAAUAAAGUCGAACUCAAACUAGAUCCCAACUUCUCAACGUAUUCUGGAAUCUGAUUGACCAGACCAUCGGAGUAGGUCUGCAGCUCAGCGUUGGAGUUCAAACCAGAAUACUUCAGCAGAGACCGGUCUAGGCCCACAUCUGGAAUGAUACAUGUUUCCCGUAAGGCUCUUUCAUAAAUAUUGAGAGCACAGCUGUCAUAAAUCUCUUGUGAGUAUUCACAGGAGCUUCCAGAGCCCAUGUUUUCGACUGGAACCUGGAGACUCAAACAAAGCUGAGACGUACCCGAAUUCACGCCAGAGAGCAAUGAAAUAGAAUCCAGUCCCUCCCGUGUAACCAGGGUCACUCCACCAACAACCAAUCAGGUCUCUGGAAAGUGAGGCGUGUUUAUUGACUUCUGUCUAAAGUCCCAGUCCGUCCAGAGUCCAGAUGUUUCGCAAUAAAACCAAAUAUUUACCUGCACUAAAGACAGAGAAGCCACAAAAUGUAAAAACCCAAGCUGGAAAUGAAUUCAGCCUUUUCUAUUCAUGUAAUCUUUACAUUUUAUAGCUCUCAUUGUUUCAGUCAUGAGGCUCGACUGAAUCAGAAGUGUUGCUUCAUCUGAAGGAUUCUCAGUACCGAACCAGAACAGAACAACGUCAGCUGCUGAAAAGUGGGUCACAACCCAGAAAUCAGAAGCCGAUAUAACUGAACCGGAGGGAGAGGGAGGAGGAAUGAGGAGAGAGUGAGGAGCAGCAGGAGCACUGGAUGAGUGUUAAAGCAACAGAUGAAACAAAGCUGAAACAAAGAGGAAGGUGUGAGAAGCCUUCUGUCUGCACUGCAGACCAUGACGGAGGCAAAGUGCUGAUGAAGUGUUGUGGGGGAGGACAGCUGACUCACCGAGGGGAGGGAGGGGUAAGGAGGAGCAUCAGAGCUCCUCGUUGGCGUUAUAAGAGCUGGAGCAGAGACCAGUCCACCGUGGACAGACCAGAUCUGACCUCACGGACCAGUGACCGGCCCAACGC
ensembl:lncRNA